rnacentral:rRNA from 1 species
GGAUGCGAUCAUACCAGCACUAAAGCACCAGAUCCCAUCAGAACUCCGAAGUUAAGCGUGCUUGGGCGAAAGUAGUACUAGGAUGGGUGACCUCCUGGGAAGUCCUCGUGUUGCAUUCC